GGCGAGAUAGCACAGUUGGCUAGUGCAAUCGGUUCAUACCCGAUAGGUCGAGGGUUCGAAUCCCCCUCUCGCUACCA
rnacentral:tRNA from 1 species